rnacentral:rRNA from 1 species
UAUGCACGCUGGCGGCGUGCCUAAUACAUGCAAGUCGAGCGAACAGAUGAGGAGCUUGCUCCUCUGACGUUAGCGGCGGACGGGUGAGUAACACGUGGAUAACCUACCUAUAAGACUGGGAUAACUUCGGGAAACCGGGGCUAAUACCGGAUAAUAUAUUGAACCGCAUGGUUCAAUAGUGAAAGACGGUUUUGCUGUCACUUAUAGAUGGAUCCGCGCCGCAUUAGCUAGUUGGUAAGGUAACGGCUUACCAAGGCAACGAUGCGUAGCCGACCUGAGAGGGUGAUCGGCCACACUGGAACUGAGACACGGUCCAGACUCCUACGGGAGGCAGCAGUAGGGAAUCUUCCGCAAUGGGCGAAAGCCUGACGGAGCAACGCCGCGUGAGUGAUGAAGGUCUUCGGAUCGUAAAACUCUGUUAUUAGGGAAGAACAAAUGUGUAAGUAACUAUGCACGUCUUGACGGUACCUAAUCAGAAAGCCACGGCUAACUACGUG